rnacentral:ncRNA from 1 species
GGUCAGGGUUUAGAACGAGAUAGGCCGUCAGUGCCGGGGAAGAUGGUGCAAUUCCAUCACGGUGCCGCCACUGUAAGCGGGGAGUGACUCUGCCACAUGCCACUGUGCGUUUCACCGCACGGGAAGGCGCAGGGAAACGAUGAUCCGCAAGUCAGGAGACCCAACGGACGGGAAACAUUCACA